rnacentral:rRNA from 1 species
GAUGAACGCUGGCGGCGUGCCUAAUACAUGCAAGUCGAGCGAACAGACGAGGAGCUUGCUCCUCUGACGUUAGCGGCGGACGGGUGAGUAACACGUGGAUAACCUACCUAUAAGACUGGGAUAACUUCGGGAAACCGGAGCUAAUACCGGAUCAUAUAUUGAACCGCAUGGUUCAAUAGUGAAAGACGGUUUUGCUGUCACUUAUAGAUGGAUUCGCGCCGCAUUAGCUAGUUGGUAAGGUAACGGCUUACCAAGGCAACGAUGCGUAGCCGACCUGAGAGGGUGAUCGGCCACACUGGAACUGAGACACGGUCCAGACUCCUACGGGAGGCAGCAGUAGGGAAUCUUCCGCAAUGGGCGAAAGCCUGACGGAGCAACGCCGCGUGAGUGAUGAAGGUCUUCGGAUCGUAAAACUCUGUUAUUAGGGAAGAACAAAUGUGUAAGUAACUAUGCACGUCUUGACGGUACCUAAUCAGAAAGCCACGGCUAACUACGUG